rnacentral:rRNA from 1 species
CGGUGUUUAACUGGCGUGAUGUGGGACGUCCUACCGGUGGGCUUAGCCUCGCGAGGGGCGGCCCAACUAAUAUCCCGUCGCGGUGCUCUUUACUGAGUGUCGAGUCGGGCCGGUACGUUUACUUUGAACAAAUUAGAGUGCUUAAAGCAGGCUAUCCUCGCCCUGAAUACUGCGUGCAUGGAAUAAUGGAAUAGGGACCUCGGUUCUAUUUUGUUGGUUUUCGGAACCCCGAGGUAAUGAUUAAUAGGGACAGAUGGGGGCAUUCGUAUUGCGACGUUAGAGGUGAAAUUCUUGGAUCGUCGCAAGACGGACAGAAGCGAAAGCAUUUGCCAAAAAUGUUUUCAUUAAUCAAGAACGAAAGUUAGAGGUUCGAAGGCGAUCAGAUACCGCCCUAGUUCUAACCAUAAACGAUGCCAGCUAGCGAUCCGCCGAAGUUCCUCCGAUGACUCGGCGGGCAGCUUCCGGGAAACCAAAGCUUUUGGGUUCCGGGGGAAGUAUGGUUGCAAAGCUGAAACUUAAAGGAAUUGACGGAAGGGCACCACCAGGAGUGGAGCCUGCGGCUUAAUUUGACUCAACACGGGAAACCUCACCAGGCCCAGACACCGGAAGGAUUGACAGAUUGAUAGCUCUUUCUUGAUUCGGUGGGUGGUGGUGCAUGGCCGUUCUUAGUUGGUGGAGCGAUUUGUCUGGUUAAUUCCGAUAACGAACGAGACUCUAGCCUGCUAAAUAGGCGUACCUUAUGGUAUCGCGAAGGCCCCCGGCUUCGGCCGGUGGGUUUUUACUACCAACGUACAAACAAAUCUUCUUAGAGGGACAGGCGG